AUGGCGAGCGCGGACGGCGAAGCUGCAUCCAUGGCGAGCGCGGCCAACGGAGCUGCAUCCAUGGCGAGCGCGGCCAGCGGAGCUGCAUCCAUGGCAAGCGCAGAUCUCCGGCGAGCGCGGGCGGCGGAGCUACAUCCAUGGCGAGCGCGGUUCUUGGGCAAACACGGAAGGCCGGCGAGGGCGCCCACCGGCGACGAGGGCGCCGCGGCGGUGCUUCAAGCUCGGCCUUUUUCUCGCGAGGGGUGGUCUGCCGGCCGCACGUUCGCUCCGUCGCUUGCCUCGUUCGUGCGCUACUGGCGAGUAGCUAGCUUCGCCUGGGCGCCUGUGGUCCACGCGAACGCACGGCGUCGGGCCGGUUCACGCGGCCGAACCCGCGCCUCCCGGCCGGGCGGCGCGGCGGGCACGCGCACCGCCUCCGGCUCCAAGAAUACGCGGAGGAGGUGGCCCGGGUCGGCGUCGGCGCCGUCCGUCACGGGCCACGGGCCCGCUUCCAAGCGCGUCUGCGCGUCGGCCACCCACGCCGUGUCCUUCAAGUGCCACUUCCACCGCACCAACUCACAGGGUCACGGCCAUGGCCAGGGCCAGGGAAGCCGCCCUUCUUUGCCCCCUUCACCGGCCGCGGCCAACGCGGUGCCGCGGCACCCGGCCUCGCCGUCCUCGUCCUCCAGCACCGUCGCGACCCAGUGA
rnacentral:rRNA from 1 species